rnacentral:tRNA from 1 species
GGCCUGAUGGCCAAGUGGUUAAAGCGUUUGGCCGCUAACCAAAAUGUUGGUGGUUCAAACCCAUCAGCCA